CCCCUACUCAUUUGCUGUGAAAAAGAGUAUAUGUAUGGAGUCGGUUUACCGACUAUGGCGAUAAACGGGCUUCGUAAUAAACCCAUCGGACCCGGGGGCAGUACCCGGCGCCUCCACCAUUUAUUCUCACAAGUUAUUGGGGGGGCGAAACAGGAUCGACGAGGGCGUAAAAGUUGUUUCCGUCGCUCGGUAUUGUACCACCGUUAUCGGGCUAUUUUUUAGUUGCAAAUGACAACUAUGCGGAAGUUGCUGUCGCUGCGUAGGUAGCGCCAACACUUCAAUUUAAGCCCUUAUCCGUCGCAGGGUAAGGCGGGGUUCGGCGGGCACCUGGCAACAGAAGCCCACCACU
rnacentral:tmRNA from 1 species